AUUAAAUCAAUUUGUAUAAAACUAAUAAAAAUGAUAUAAAAUUGUAGAGUUAUCAAAAAUUUAGCCUAAACAAUAUUUAUAAAAUUUGUAGAUAUAUAAAAAACUAAUGAUCUUAUGAUUAGAUAUUUAAAUUUUAUAAAAACAGUAGAAAUUUUUUAAAGCUUUAGUAAUAUAAAUUGUAUAAUUAUACAAAAAUAAUAAUAUUUCGAAAUUUGAAAUGUUAUAUAUGAAUAUAUUUAUUUUAUAGAUGAUGUAUGAGAUAUUACUAUAUUAAAAAAAAUUACCAAAAAAAAU
rnacentral:lncRNA from 1 species